GGUUCUUGAGAGAAAGGGGUGUUUGGGAACAGCAAGAACAAAUGACUGGAAGUCAAAUCAUGUAUUACAAAUGGCUGGCCUAUGUUCUGUUAAAAUAGCUUUCCAGAUUGCUCCUCUCUUCUCUCUCUCUCUCUCUCUCUCUCUCUCUCUCUCUCUCUGUGUGUGUGUGUGUAUGUGUGUGUGAGUGUGUGUGUGAGUGUUUGUGCUUGUCUGUUGCUCUGUGUGUGUGUUCUGCUCUGCUCUACAUAGCUUUUUCUUGCUAUUCCAAAAACUCUCUGGUUGAGAAAUGUAGUUUUCUGCUGGUGACAGCUCUCUCUGCAGGUAAAAAAUUCUAAAACCUCUCUCAAUAGCUCAUGUGUUUUCUGACUAAAGUCAGAAAGGCUGCUAUAAAAACAAAAAUUCUGGAUCUUCCAACCAAGUCAGAAAUCCUGUUAGAAAAAUUCUAAAAGUAAUUCUUGGAUUUUCCCAUCAAAAUCAGAAAGACAGAAAAAAAUUCUAAAAGAGAUGUGUUCACUCUCCAUGGAUGUUCAGAGCAAAAUCAGAAAUCUUGAGCUGUUUUCGCUCUUCGGAGAUCUUCAGACAGCUCAGCUCUAAGUAGAGAAAAUUCUAAAGAAGAACUGUAAUCAUGGGUUUGCUCUAUCAUCUCAUGCAUACCAAAAGUCUAGUGUUUUAUUUACAUAUCAAUUCAUUUCUUUUUUCCAGGUUCCCUUUGACUAUCCUAUGAGUCAGCAUCCCAUGUCCAAAGACCUUUAAUUCUUAGGAGACAGCAAGCUCACAUUUUCUUUUAACAUUGGAAAAAAAUUUCAGAGGAUCUGCCUGCCUCUGUUAAGCACAAAUGCUAAUCGAACUGGGUGGGACCCUGUCCUGAAAUAAUCAUUUCUAGCACACGUGGGACUAACCAUGCUCUGUCCCAGGCUCUGAUCCUGAACUCAGGAAUUUGCCUUUGUAUGAACAAACAACAGAAACGCUUCUCUGGACGGGAUCUCUGACAUCACCACUCCCUAAAUCUUUUUAUCUCCAUCCUUAGUAUCUUUCUGACAAGUUGACUGACAGUGUAGCUGCCUCUAUUCCUUUAGAUUUACAAAGUCCCUCAUAUAAUUCAUAUUACAUCCUUAUAUUUUGCAUAGUGAGAAAUGAUAUAUCUUUGAACUCAUAGAGUUCUUUUCCAUAGCCUUAAGGACUGUCCUGAAGGUCCUGGUGUUCACUAUUCUGCUGAGACAUUAGCCACACCUUCCCCUUCAGGACUCACACUCUCUCAGAUUAUCAUGGAGUCAUUAACAUUAACAGGGAGGAUUUUACUCGGAGGAAGGUGAAAAUAUGUACAAUAUGAUACAAGGAAGCCUUAUGCGCAUGGCAACCACACUUGUGGAGGCCCACACCUGCUAGCCCUGUCCUAGGGGCAGGAACCCUGUCCUUCUGUCCCUACUAAGGCCUUGCCAGACUUCCACAGCAGGACUUUGGCUAUAUGUACGGGGCUGUCUUGAAACAGUACAUGAUAUUGAUCUGGAAUUCUUUAGAAGCUUGUCUACUUGCUAGACGUGAUGAUCUGAUCAUUUGCAAUUAAUGGUGCUGUCAUUCAGAUGGCUUUGUACUGCAGUCUAAAUAUAUAGUGAUAUAUAAAGAAGACUGGGCAGUGAAAUGGUAUCUUUGAAUAUCCAGGUUCCUGAUAUUCUCAAAAUUCCAAGGAACAGGGAUAUUAAUGAUGAGACGACUUUGAGCCCAGCCUCAGCUAGCCUGCUGCUGUUUCCAGAAUGAGGCAAAUACAAAUCAGCUGUGAUACUCAAGGUGCAGUGACAGAUUCCUAGAAGUCUUCAGAGAAAAGUGAGCCUGUAUGUAGUGACAGAUUCCUAGAAGCCUUCAGAGAAAAGUGAGCCUGUAUGUUAGUGGAUCUGGGAAGUCCCAGUACAGAACAAUAUCCACAUUGUCAUAACAGAUCUGGCUAGACGCUUAAUCAGAUAAAAUUGGCCAAAUAUAAAAAACAAAUUCCCUUCAACAUUGAAGUCUACACAAAAUAUAUAAUUGUGCUAAUGUUGUAUCAAAUAUCAACUUCUAUAUACACAGGCUUCUAUAUAUAAGACAUUAUUGGUGGAAAAGUGGUUACAGCAUUAUGAGAAUGAUUAAAACCAUUCUUAGUCUGGCACUAACAGAAAGCAAUGGGAACAUUUCCUAUGGACCAAAACAUGAUCUGAGAUAUUGUCCCUCUUAAACAAUUUUCUAAUUAUUAAGAAAGUCAACCAAGUGGUUAGCUAUGACAGUUAAAUGAGUUGCAUAUUUGUCGCCUUCAAGUUCUGGGCCCUGCAACAGCUUGGAAUGUUUCUUGAGUGCUGACUGAGAGGAGCUUGAUACAUGGCACCACCUUGUUACCCUGUUGGUGACAGGAUUUUUCUUUCUUUUCUGUGUGCUUUUACUCUGGUUUCUUCUAAAAACAAAACAAACAAUCUAACUAACAAACAAGACAAAAACAAAACCCAGAUGGAACUCCAAAGCUAAAAUUGGUAUUCUCUUAUUUAAACCCAGGAGUCAGUGAAAGGAAAUGUUGCAGCACGGGGGUUUUGGGAGAUGAUGGGAAGAGAAGGAUAAAUGUCAGUCAACAAAGGUCAAGUGAAUGUGGCUGAAGGACCACACAGAGAAGGAGGAAGAGGACGUGGCAAAGGUUAAGGGAUAAAU
rnacentral:lncRNA from 1 species